rfam:Oryza brachyantha chromosome 2, whole genome shotgun sequence.
UUUGACUCUUCGUCUUAUUUGAAAUUUUUUUAUGAUUAAUAUUUUUAUUGUUACUAGAUGACAAAAUAUGAAUAGUACUUUAUAUGUGAUUAAUUUUUUUAAGUUUUUGUAUAAAUUUUUUAAAUAAGACGAACAAUCAAA